AGAUGGAGAAAGAGAGAGACAGACACAAAUAGAGAGACAGAGAGAGAAAAUAAAUGAUUGAAUUUAGAAAGGGAAGUGAUGAUUCAAAGGGAAAGUUCCUGGGAGGCAGGUCAGGGGAUCAGCAAGGAAAAGGAGGAGAAAAUGGAAGAUUACAUUGAAAGGAUUCAGAGAAAAGAGAAAGCUCACCACAGCUGGUCUCUAUUUUCUAGGUGAGGAAUAUUGGAGGGGACUAUGACUUUCACCUGAAAGGUCAAGAGACUUAAUCACCACAAAACUUGUGAUGGGAAUCCAACCACCUGAGGUGCCAGUGAGGAGUGAAUCAUGCCCCGGAGUGGCAGGGGUGCUGCCCGUCCGGUGGUCUUGCUGAUCUCAUGGGGGAUCCUGCCGGGGACCCAGAAACCUCCUAAUGGAAGCUUACUCCAGCCCUGGACUUCAUACAUUGGAAGCCCCCUCCAUCCCUCGGUCUGACUGCUUUCUCUCACAUCCUCCAUGUUAAGGGGGAUCUCCAGGCCUCCUACAUCUUUACUCCUCUCCUGGUUAUGCUCGUUAUUAUCUUCUUCCAUUAGAAUAUAAGCUCCUUGAGUUCAGGGACUGUGUUUCUUUCUGCUCAUGUUUGUAUUCCUAGUAAGGGUUUAAUAAAUGCUUAUUGA